rnacentral:rRNA from 1 species
CCAAUAGCGCAUAUUAAAGUUGUUGCAGUUAAAAAGCUCGUAGUUGAAUUUCGGGGUCAGCAGGUUGGUCGUGCCAAUGGUAUGCACUGGCCUUGCUGAUUCCUCCCUCUUGAUGAGCCGUAAUGCCAUUAAUUUGGUGUUGCGGGGAAUCAGGACUGUUACUUUGAAAAAAUUAGAGUGUUUAAAGCAGGCAAGCGCUUGAAUACAUUAGCAUGGAAUAAUGAAAUAGGACGUUUGAUCCUAUUUUGUUGGUUUCUAGGAUUGACGUAAUGAUUAAUAGGGAUAGUUGGGGGCAUUAGUAUUCAAUUGUCAGAGGUGAAAUUCUUGGAUUUAUUGAAGACUAACUACUGCGAAAGCAUUUGCCAAGGAUGUUUUCAUUAAUCAAGAACGAAAGUUAGGGGAUCGAAGACGAUCAGAUACCGUCGUAGUCUUAACCAUAAACUAUGCCGACUAGGGAUCGGAUGAUGUUAAUUUUUUAAUGACUCAUUCGGCGCCUUACG